CUAAAGGACAGCCACCUGGCGGCUCACACUCAUUCUCUCCUGAGUGAUCGUAUGCUUGCCUGCCGAAACACAUUUUUAUUGUUUUUACAAUUCGUUUUUAAACAUUUGUAUUUGAGGCAGAGCCGACAUCAACAACACGACCCACAGCAGAGCCAGAGUUGCUUGCUGCAGAGCCCCUUGAAGGCAUAAAAUGGCCUGAGGUGGAUGUAGACUCCACAGAAACAAUGACGAUGCAGGGCACAAUGAAAUUCUUAAUGAACUCAAGCCCAUUAUCUGAGGCGUCCACCUCCCACCCGACCGGGGCUUCUGCGGCGGCACCUGGCCCCCACCCCGUCAGGAACCCUUCACUCACCCACAUACCAUCAACAAAUUACAGGAAUGGGCGCUGCAAGUGCGGAAGAAGACACUCAUCUUAGGCCCAGGUCUCCAAGGUACUGAUGGAGCUCAAGAGGAAAUUCUUCUUCUUCAAGGAAGCCACAGAGGAAGAUAUGCCAGUUAGAGCACCAGUUUUUUACUGUGCAACUCUCGGGUGGUGGAUUUCCGCAGAGCGUCUAUGUUCUUGGAUUCCCUGGGAGGAAACGGUCAAGGUGCGUGCCAAAUAUUAUUGCUUGGCUUCUUCCUCAGGCUCUGCGUCAGAUUGGUGUAACUCGACAUCUGCUGUGAAGUCAGGCAUGCUGUGACAGGAGUCUGAAGUCGGCUGGCUUUCAAAAGGCUCGCCUUCUGCCUCUUCGUAGUAACCACCUGAAUCCCGACCCUCAUCUUCUUCUUGGGGGGGCCUCAGCUUCACCUUCAACAUCCCCAUCAUUGUUUCCUUCGGCGUCUGCUACAACAUCGCCAUCCUGCUACAACAGAUUUUCCAGAUCCCGCAGCGUGUCACGACUGGGACCCGGAAAAAGACGCCCUGCUGUUCAUGCAAUGGGGCAUCCAUACUGUGUGCGUGUAAAGGUAGCUGCGAUCACUUGAACUGCGGCUGCCUUAAAAGGAAGAUGGCCUGCGGGGAGACCUGCCAGUGCCAUCAUGAGAAGUGCCUUAAUAUGUAGAAGCAUCCCGAGGAUCCCACUUCAAGCAGCCCAUGAAGACGGGGACAAGACCCCCAAGGCCCUGAGACAACAUUUAUAUUGUAUAUGUUUUUAAAAGACAAGUUCACUACUUUUAUCAGAUACUUUUAUUUAUUUAAUAGUCUUAGUUCUCCAUGUGCUCUUUGGCCAUUUUUGAUUUGUUGAAACGCAGCCGUUUUAAGUGUUUUCUGUUUUUGUUUUCUGGGCAAAAUAA